UGGGUUAAGUCCCGCAACGAGCGCAACCCUUGUCUUAUGUUGCCAGCACGUGAUGGUGGGGACUCGUAAGAGACUGCCGGGGUCAACUCGGAGGAAGGUGGGGACGACGUCAAGUCAUCAUGCCCCUUAUGUCCAGGGCUUCACACAUGCUACAAUGGCCAGUACAGAGGGCUGCGAGACCGUGAGGUGGAGCGAAUCCCUUAAAGCUGGUCUCAGUUCGGAUCGGGGUCUGCAACUCGACCCCGUGAAGUCGGAGUCGCUAGUAAUCGCAGAUCAGCAACGCUGCGGUGAAUACGUUCCCGGGCCUUGUACACACCGCCCGUCACGUCAUGAAAGUCGGUAACACCCGAAGCCGGUGGCCUAACCCCUUGUGGGAGGGAGCCGUCGAAGGUGGGAUCGGCGAUUGGGACGAAGUCGUAACAAGGUAACC
rnacentral:rRNA from 1 species